rnacentral:lncRNA from 1 species
AAUUCUCCCUUUAGUGAUUAUACACGUUUAGGGCUUCCAUAAACCAUGAGUGACACCUAGCAACAUAUCAUGGUUACCCAAGCUAACCAAUGACUCGAGACCAUCAGUGAACUCAUUCCUUAUUGAGCACCUACGUACUUGUCUUGGUGUCAAUCACACCAAUGACUCGAGACCAGUCACUCUCCAUGAGAGAAGACACAGCACGUAC